rnacentral:lncRNA from 1 species
GGGUCCCAGGGCAUUUGUGACCGUUCUCACUAGCCCACAAUGUACCUAAGAGGCCGUGAAGCCAAGGGGGCUAAGGGCCUUGCCUAGGAUCACAUGGCUGGACAGAGUAGGUGGGGUGAAGGGGCUGAGCCCUCCUGUCUCUCCCCUGAGCCGUAUCCAGGCCAGAGUCAUUUCUGCAGACCUCUCUGUACCACCACAGAACAGCACAAAGCUCCAGACUCUUCAGCAGACUCUGAGGUGGACAGCAGCCGUCGGAGAGUCGGUCCUGUGAAGAGAUGGAGUGGCUCAGCCAGGAGAGGACUGUUCCUCCAGCCAUUUGUUCAGGAGUCAUUAAUGAGCACCGACUGCGCGCCAGACAGUGGAGCUGACGUCAUCUUGCCCGAGAAAUGGACAGUCAACAAGGAAACAAAGUUAGAAUGUGACGGCAGGAGGUGACAGGUUCUCAGCACAGUGCCGGGCACUUCAUAAAUGCUCCACGGCCAUAAGCGACCAUGACGGCAGCAUCUGUGACUCGGGGCAGAGAGCUGGGGACACCUGCGUUAGGAUGACACUGACGCUCUGAAGGGGAGAGAACUGCGCAACCUGGAUUCAUCAGGAACAAGCCACAGGUCCCUCCAGAUACCUGUCUGUUUGACAGAUGGGGACCCUGGAGGGGGUCGCCUGGCCAAGGCCACCCGUGGCAGACGCAGGACUAGAAUCCAGAUGCUCCCUUUGUGG